rnacentral:lncRNA from 12 species
UGUUAAGCAUGUAUUGAAAUACUAUUUAUUUUUUUUUAAUCUUACCCAAUGACAGACGGGAAAAGGCAGAGGAGAAUAACUUGUGUUGGACAUUUCUUAGCAGCAGCUGGCAGCAGUCGUGAUCUGCUUACUUUCCUGGAUGUAACAUUUUGAAAUAAAGAAGAUAAACUUGAGAAAACAGCCUAUAUAUACA